AGUCGAAACUAAUUAAACCUAAAAAAAGCAGUUAAAUACCUAUUUAAAUUAUAAUAAAUUAUAAAUUAAAGAAUAACUACACUAACUAUUCAAAUAAAUGAAUAAUCAAAUCAAUUUCUUUCAUUUAUUAUUUUAAUCACUCCCUCCAGAUAACUGAUUUUGCCUUUUAUUAAAUUUUUUUACCUUUGAGGUGGAGAGAGGACCAUAGGCCAUCCAGACUACUAAGCCCUACCUAACUUAGGCAGUAAGUAGUCAAUAAAUAAAUAAAUAGAAAGAGAUAAAUAGAUAAUAAACCAAUAUUUUAUUAUUUAUAAUGUUUUACCUUUUUUAAAGAUAGAC
rnacentral:rRNA from 1 species